CCACUACAUAACCCGCGAAUAGGCACACUCUGGGAAGGAGACUAUUAAUGUCAUCAUUGUUUCCCGUUGCAUUCACGGUCCCUUUAUAUUCGUUAUUGUUCGUUUUCAUCAAACAUUACCCAUUUGCAUCAACUACUGUAAUCAACUUGUACUUUUCUCUGAAAUGGAUAUUUUUCAAAAUAUUGAAAACCAGUAGAUACUCUAAAUACCCUGGGAACGAGGUUGGUAGAUACUCAGUCAG